UACGAAGGGGGCGAGCGUUGUUCGGAUUUACUGGGCGUAAAGGGCGCGCAGGCGGCUCAUCAAGUCAGGCGUGAAAGCCCCGGGACUUAACCGUGGGAACUGCGUCUGGGACUGGCGGGCUUGAGAUCGGGAGAGGAGGAGUGGAAUUCCCAGUGUAGAGGUGAAAUUCGUAGAUAUUGGGAAGAACACCGGUGGCGAAGGCGGCUCUCUGGACCGAUACUGACGCUGAGGCGCGAAAGCGUGGGGAGCAACAGGG
rnacentral:rRNA from 1 species